GUGCCAGCAGCCGCGGUAAUUCCAGCUCCAAUAGCGUAUAUUAAAGUUGUUGUGGUUAAAAAGCUCGUAGUUGAACCUUGGGCCUGGCUGGCCGGUCCGCCUCACCGCGUGCACUGGUCCGGCCGGGCCUUUCCCUCUGUGGAACCCCAUACCCUUCACUGGGCGUGGCGGGGAAACAGGACAUUUACUUUGAAAAAAUUAGAGUGCUCCAGGCAGGCCUAUGCUCGAAUACAUUAGCAUGGAAUAAUAAAAUAGGACGCGCGGUUCUAUUUUGUUGGUUUAUAGGACCGCCGUAAUGAUUAAUAGGGACAGUCGGGGGCAUCAGUAUUCAACUGUCAGAGGUGAAAUUCUUGGAUCAGUUGAAGACUAACUACUGCGAAAGCAUUUGCCAAGGAUGUUUUCAUUAAUCAGGAACGAAAGUUAGGGGAUCGAAGACGAUCAGAUACCGUCGUAGUCUUAACCAUAAACUAUGCCGACUAGGGAUCGGACGGUGUUAUUCAUGACCCGUUCGGCACCUUACGAGAAAUCAAAGUGCUUGGGCUCCAGGGGGAGUAUGGUCGCAAGGCUGAAACUUAGAGAAAUUGACGGAAGGGCACCACCAGGGGUGGAGCCUGCGGCUUAAUUUGACUCACACGGGAAACUCACCAAGUCCAGACACAAUAAGGAUUGACAGAUUGAGAGCUCUUUCUUGAUUUUGUGGGUGGGGUGCAUGCCGUUCUAGUGGUGGGUGACUUGUCUGCUAAUUGCGAUAACGAACGAGACUUAACCUGCUAAAUAGCCCGCAUUGCUCCGGCAGUG
rnacentral:rRNA from 1 species